rnacentral:lncRNA from 1 species
GCCUAUGAAAACCGACCGAGUUCGUUGUGAUCUCGCGAAAACAACAAGUUGGGUUGUAAACUUGUAAAACAACCGGCUGUAAUCCAAAGGAUUAUAGUGAACUCCCAAGUGAAGCUUGGGGAGUGGACGUAGGAGCAGAGUUGGCUCCGAACCACUAUAAAAUCUUCUUGUGUUUGCAUUGGCUAUUUGUCUCUUCCAAUCUCCUCAUCAAGAAGCUUAAUU